rnacentral:rRNA from 1 species
UACGUAGGGUGCGAGCGUUAAUCGGAAUUACUGGGCGUAAAGCGUGCGCAGGCGGUUUUGUAAGCCAGAUGUGAAAUCCCCGGGCUCAACCUGGAAAUGGCAUUUGGGACUGCAAGGCUGGAGUUUGGCAGAGGAGACUGGAAUUCCCGGUGUAGCAGUGAAAUGCGUAGAUAUCGGGAGGAAUACCGAUGGCGAAGGCAGGUCUCUGGGCUAUAACUGACGCUCAUGCACGAAAGCGUGGGGAGCAAACAGG